CCUACGGGCGGCUGCAGUCGAGAAUCUUCGGCAAUGGGCGCAAGCCUGACCGAGCGAUGCCGCGUGCGGGAUGAAGGCCUUCGGGUUGUAAACCGCUGUCAGAGGGGAGGAAACGCCAGAGGGUUCUCCCUUUGGUUUGACCGAUCCUCAGAGGAAGGACGGGCUAAGUUCGUGCCAGCAGCCGCGGUAAGACGAACCGUCCAAACGUUAUUCGGAAUCACUGGGCUUAAAGCGUGCGUAGGCGGCCUGCCAAGUCGGGUGUGAAAUCCCUCGGCUCAACCGAGGAAUUGCGCCCGAAACUGGCGGGCUGGAGGGAGAUAGAGGUGAGCGGAACUAAUGGUGGAGCGGUGAAAUGCGUUGAUAUCAUUAGGAACACCGGCGGCGAAAGCGGCUCACUGGGUCUCUUCUGACGCUGAGGCACGAAAGCUAGGGGAGCGAAC
rnacentral:rRNA from 1 species